GUGGUUAUAACCCACAUUUUACUCUUAAGGGAAUUAGCUACACAUGAUCAAUUCACCUUUAAGUGGGCUUUUCCAUAAGACUGUAGCUUGUAGUCUUAUUCUUUAGCUUGAGAUUCCAAAUACAAUGUAAAAUCAGUAAUUUAAUGCUCUUUGUGUCUGUUAGAAUGAUCAUCUUUAAUUAGAAAGAGACAGUAUUCAAAGCUGAGGUUGCUAAAUUUAGGAUUUAUACACAAUGUGGAUAAAACAUGAUUGAAAGCACUCUUUUUAUCUUUCAUUUAGUGAAAAUCACAUGAAAAAUCCUCUGGUCGAUGCCCUUCCAGUGUAUUAAAACUGAACAAAAUCAUCUUUGGAUUCACUUCAACUUCAACUUUAUUAUGUCCCAAAAUGGGCAAAUCAGGUUGCAGCAGGCACAGGCAUUCAAACCACGGCCAUACAUCAUGAAAUAAAAUAAAAUACAGUUACAUAAAAAACUGUUCAGGAGGUAAAAAGCAUUAAAGAAGAUUUAGAAGGUAAAAGAAGCAUAUGUCAGUCAUACCAGUAUUUUUGCAUGAGCAGAGUGCAUAAAAUGCAGAAACAAAGUGCAAUGUUCGGUUUGCGUACCAAUGAAAUAACACCUAGAUGAAGCUUGAUCCUUCUAAGAUCAGCAAGAUCAGGCCCAUCAGGCAUAGAGCUGAUACCACUACUCCGUACAGCAAGAUCACAAUAAUUCAGUACAAUACAGAAUAAUA